AUACUUUUUAAUGGAAUUUUAUUCGAAAGUAAAACUUUCACGAAAUGUAAUACUUCAAAGAACCGCGCUACUCUGUUAGGUCAAAACUGAAACUGAGCUUAUUUAAGACGUGUCGCUGUGAUAUUCACCGCAAAGGUGACAUUGUCCCGCAAUUCCUCUAAAUUGGCAUUAUGCGUUUCCAGAUUGGUUAACAGCAAAUUCUGUAAUUGUUCCAGAUUUCACAAUAUAGCCUCGAAAACCAAACUCUUCGCUACAAGGCAUGGAAAAGGGAUCUGGGACAAUUUGCUGACGCGCAAGUCCUAAUAUCAAAGCAUAUCGUCGUAAUUUCUGAACUUUUCCACGAUAGUUCAUCACAGCUUCGAGCGUGUUCCAGAGUUAAAAGCAACAGGAGCCUACUUAUUCGCAAUUUUUA